rnacentral:rRNA from 1 species
AAUGAACGUUGGCGGCAUGGAUUAGGCAUGCAAGUCGAGCGAGAAGUGUAGCAAUACACGGAAAGCGGCGGAAGGGAGAGUAAUACGUGGGAAUCUGCCCUUAGACCUGGGAUAGCAGCGGGAAACUGCUGGUAAUACCAGAUAAUGUCUAUGGACCAAAGGUGUGAUUCCGUCGGAGGAGCGGCCGACAUGGUAUUAGCUAGUUGGCGGGGUAACGGCCCACCAAGGCUGUGAUGCCUAGGGGAUGUGAGAGCAUGAUCCCCACCAUUGGGACUGAGACACUGCCCAGACACCUACGGGUGGCUGCAGUCGAGAAUCUUCGUCAAUGGGCGAAAGCCUGAACGAGCGACGCCGCGUGCGGGAUGAAGGCCCUUGGGUUGUAAACCGCUGUCGAGGGGGAUGAAGGCUUGAAGGUACUCCUUCAAGUUUGACAGAGCCCUGGAGGAAGCACGGGCUAAGUUCGUGCCAGCCGCCGCAGUAAGAC